CGGUGGAUGCCCUGGCAGUCAGAGGCGAUGAAGGGCGUGCUAAUCUGCGAUAAGCGCCGGUAAGGUGAUAUGAACCGUUAUAACCGGCGAUACCCGAAUGGGGAAACCCAGUGUGACUCGUCACACUAUCAUUAACUGAAUCCAUAGGUUAAUGAGGCGAACCGGGGGAACUGAAACAUCUAAGUACCCCGAGGAAAAGAAAUCAACCGAGAUUCCCCCAGUAGCGGCGAGCGAACGGGGAGGAGCCCAGAGCCUGAAUCAGCAUGUGUGUUAGUGGAAGCGUCUGGAAAGGCGCGCGAUACAGGGUGACAGCCCCGUACACAAAAGCGCAUGUGCUGUGAGCUCGAUGAGUAGGGCGGGACACGUGGUAUCCUGUCUGAAUAUGGGGGGACCAUCCUCCAAGGCUAAAUACUCCUGACUGACCGAUAGUGAACCAGUACCGUGAGGGAAAGGCGAAAAGAACCCCGGCGAGGGGAGUGAAAAAGAACCUGAAACCGUGUACGUACAAGCAGUGGGAGCCCCACCACCAAAGCAUUUGCUGUACCGCGUUGACGGAGCGAAGCGACGUCAAACCGAU
rnacentral:rRNA from 1 species